UACGUAGGGCGCAAGCGUUGUCCGGAAUUACUGGGCGUAAAGCGCGUGUAGGCGGCUUGGCAAGUCGGGUGUGAAAGCCCUGGGCUCAACCUAGGAAGUGCACUCGAAACUGCUUCGCUGGAGUGUCGGAGAGGAAAGCGGAAUUCUCGGUGUAGAGGUGAAAUUCGUAGAUAUCGAGAGGAACAUCGGUGGCGAAGGCGGCUUUCUGGACGAUUACUGACGCUGAGACGCGAAAGCGUGGGGAGCAAACAGG
rnacentral:rRNA from 1 species